AUUGAACGCUGGCGGCAGGCCUAACACAUGCAAGUCGAGCGAGCGGCGGACGGGGGAGUAAUGUCUGGGAAACUGCCUGAUGGAGGGGGAUAACUACUGGAAACGGUAGCUAAUACCGCAUACCAUCAGAUGUGCCCAGAUGGGCUUAGCUAGUAGGUGUGGUAAUGGUUCACCUAGGCGACGAGCCCUAGCUGGUCUGAGAGGAUGACCAGCCACACUGUAACUGAGACACGGUCCAGACUCCUACGUGAGGCAGGGUUGGGGAAUAGUGCACAAUGGACGCAAGCCUGGUGCAGCCAAGCGGCGUGUGUGAAGAAGGCCUGCGGGUUGUAAAGCACUUUCAGCUGGGAGGCGUUACCCGCAGAAGAAGCACCGGCUAACUCCGUGCCAGCAGCCGCGGUAAUAC
rnacentral:rRNA from 1 species